rnacentral:rRNA from 1 species
GUGUCAGCCGCCGCGGUAAUACGGAGGGUGCGAGCGUUGUCCGGAUUUAUUGGGUUUAAAGGGUGCGUAGGUGGCUUGUUAAGUCAGUGGUGAAAUACAGCCGCUCAACGGUUGAGGUGCCAUUGAUACUGAUAAGCUUGAAAGAAUUGGAGGCUGCCGGAAUGGAUGGUGUAGCGGUGAAAUGCAUAGAUAUCAUCCAGAACACCGAUUGCGAAGGCAGGUGGCUACGAUUUAUUUGACACUGAGGCACGAAAGCAUGGGGAGCAAACAGGAUUAGAUACCCCCGUAGUCC